rnacentral:rRNA from 1 species
AGAGUUUGAUCAUGGCUCAGGAUGAACGCUAGCUACAGGCUUAACACAUGCAAGGUCGAGGGGAAACGAUAUUGGAAGCUUUGCUUCCGAUAGGCGUCGACCGGCGUACGGGUGAGUAACGCGUAUCCAACCUGCCCACCACUUGGGGAUAACCUUGCGAAAGUAAGACUAAUACCCAAUGACGUCUCUAGAAGAACAUCUGAAAGAGAUUAAAGAUUUAUCGGUGAUGGAUGGGGAUGCGUCUGAUUAGCUUGUUGGCGGGGUAACGGCCCACCAAGGCGACGAUCAGUAGGGGUUCUGAGAGGAACGGCCCCCACAUUGGAACUGAGACACGGUCCAAACUCCUACGGGAGGCAGCA